GGAGGAAAGCAGGGGAUCGAAAGACCUUAUGCUUUUGGAGCGGCCGAUGUCUGAUUAGCUAGUUGGUAAGGUAAUGGCUUACCAAGGCAACGAUCAGUAGUUGGUCUGAGAGGACGACCAGCCACACUGGGACUGAGACACGGCCCAGACUCCUACGGGAGGCAGCAGUGGGGAAUUUUGGACAAUGGGCGCAAGCCUGAUCCAGCAAUGCCGCGUGAGUGAAGAAGGCCUUCGGGUUGUAAAGCUCUUUCAGUUGAGAAGAAAAGAUUGUGACUAAUAAUUGCAAUUCAUGACGGUAUCAACAGAAGAAGCACCGGCUAACUACGUGCCAGCAGCCGCGGUAAUACGUAGGGUGCGAGCGUUAAUCGGAAUUACUGGGCGUAAAGGGUGCGCAGGCGGUUCGUAAGUCAGAUGG
rnacentral:rRNA from 1 species